UACGUAGGAGGCAAGCGUUGUCCGGAAUUACUGGGUGUAAAGCGCGUGUAGGCGGCAGGCCAAGUCUGUUGUGAAAUCGCCCGGCUCAACUGGGCGGGGUCAAUGGAAACUGGUCGGCUGGAGGACGGUAGAGGUGAGUGGAAUUCCCGGUGUAGUGGUGAAAUGCGUAGAGAUCGGGAGGAACACCCGUGGCGAAGGCGGCUCACUGGGCCGGUCCUGACGCUGAGACGCGAAGGCGUGGGGAGCGAACGGG
rnacentral:rRNA from 1 species